rnacentral:tRNA from 1 species
UCAAAUUAAAGCUUUAAGGGAAGUUUUUUAUUUACAUUAAAAAGAUUACUGUUCAAUUCAGUAUAGUUUGAU